rnacentral:rRNA from 1 species
AUUGAACGCUGGCGGCAGGCCUAACACAUGCAAGUCGAGCGGAUGAAGGGAGCUUGCUCCUGUAUUCAGCGGCGGACGGGUGAGUAAUGCCUAGGAAUCUGCCUGGUAGUGGGGGAUAACGUCCGGAAACGGGCGCUAAUACCGCAUACGUCCUGAGGGAGAAAGUGGGGGUUCUUCGGACCUCACGCUAUCAGAUGAGCCUAGGUCGGAUUAGCUAGUUGGUGGGGUAAAGGCCUACCAAGGCGACGAUCCGUAACUGGUCUGAGAGGAUGAUCAGUCACACUGGAACUGAGACACGGUCCAGACUCCUACGGGAGGCAGCAGUGGGGAAUAUUGGACAAUGGGCGAAAGCCUGAUCCAGCCAUGCCGCGUGUGUGAAGAAGGUCUUCGGAUUGUAAAGCACUUUAAGUUGGGAGGAAGGGCAGUAAGUUAAUACCUUGCUGUUUUGACGUUACCAACAGAAUAAGCACCGGCUAACUUCGUG